ensembl:lncRNA
GCAGUGAUGGUGGAGGUUGAGGGAGGCAGUGUUGGUGAAGGUUGAGGGAGGCAGUGUUGGUGGAGGUUGAGGGAGUCAGUGUUGGUGAAGGUUAGUGUUGAGGGAGGCAAUGCUGGUGGAGGUCGAGGGAGGCAGUGCUGGUGGAGGUUGAGGGAGGCAGUGUUGGUGAAGGUUUAGGGAGGCAGUGUUGGUGAAGGUUGAGGAAGGCAGUGUUGGUGAAGGUUUAGGGAGGCAGUGUUGGUGAAGGUUGAGGGAGGCAGUGCUGGUGAAGGUUAUUAUUGAGGGAGGCAGUGAUGGUGGAGGUUGAGGGAGGCAGUGCUGGUGGAGGUUAUUAUUGAGGGAGGCAGUGAUGGUGGAGGUUAUUAUUGAGGGAGGGAG